rnacentral:rRNA from 1 species
AUUCUGGUUGAUCCUGCCAGAGGCUACUGCUAUCGGGGUCCGACUAAGCCAUGCGAGUUGAGAGGGGUAAGCCCUCGGCGAAUUGCUCAGUAACACGCGGAUAACCUGCCCUUGGGUCCGGGAUAACCCCGGGAAACUGGGACUAAUACCGGAUAGAUCAAGGAUACUGGAAUGUUCCCUGGUCUAAAACUCCGGUGCCCAAGGAUGGGUCUGCGGCCUAUCAGGUAGUAGUGGGUGUAACGUACCUACUAGCCUACGACGGGUAAGGGUUGUGAGAGCAAGAGCCCUGAGAUGGAUUCUGAGACAUGAAUCCAGGCCCUACGGGGUGCAGCAGGCGCGAAAACUUUACACUGC